AGGGCGCACGGUGGAUGCCUUGGCACUAGGAGCCGAUGAAGGACGGUACUAACACCGAUAUGCUUCGGGGAGCUGUACGUAAGCUUUGAUCCGGAGAUUUCCGAAUGGGGGAACCCAGCCAACUUAGUCGUUGGUUACUCAUAAGUGAAUACAUAGCUUAUGAGAGGUAAACGUGGGGAACUGAAACAUCUCAGUACCUGCAGGAACAGAAAGAAAAUUCGAUUCCCUAAGUAGCGGCGAGCGAACGGGGAACAGCCCAAACCAUGAUGCUUGCAUUAUGGGGUUGUAGGACUGAACUUUGGAGUUACCAAAGUCGUUGAUAACUGAGUCAGUUGGAAUACUGAACAAAACAGGGUGAAAGUCCCGUAAGUCAAAUCAACGGCUCUUCGUUCAGGAUCCUGAGUACGGCGGAACACGUGAAAUUCCGUCGGAAUCUGGGAGGACCAUCUCCCAAGGCUAAAUACUACCUAGUGACCGAUAGUGGACCAGUACCGUGAGGGAAAGGUGAAAAGAACCCCGGAAGGGGAGUGAAACAGUUCCUGAAACCGUGUGCCUACAAUUAGUUAGAGCCCGUUAAUGGGUGAUAGCGUGCCUUUUGUAGAAUGAACCGGCGAGUUACGUUUGCAUGCGAGGUUAAGCUGAUAAGGCGGAGCCAUAGCGAAAGCGAGUCUGAAUAGGGCGUUUAGUAUGUAGACGUAGACCCGAAACCAAGUGACCUACCCAUGUCCAGGUUGAAGGUGUGGUAAAACACACUGGAGGACCGAACCCGUGUAUGUUGAAAAAUGCUGGGAUGAGGUGUGGGUAGCGGUGAAAUUCCAAACGAACUUGGAGAUAGCUGGUUCUCUUCGAAAUAGCUUUAGGGCUAGCCUCGGAAUUGACCAUCAUGGAGGUAGAGCACUGUUUGGACUAGGGGCCCGUCUUGGGUUACUGAAUUCAGAUAAACUCCGAAUGCCAUUGAUGAAUUAUCCGGGAGUCAGACAGUGAGUGAUAAGAUCCAUUGUCGAAAGGGAAACAGCCCAGACCACCAGUUAAGGUCCCCAAAUUUAUGUUAAGUGGAAAAGGAUGUGGGGUUGCAUAGACAACUAGGAUGUUGGCUCAGAAGCAGCCACCAUUUAAAGAGUGCGUAAUAGCUCACUAGUCGAGUGACCCUGCGCCGAAAAUGUACCGGGGCUAAACAUAAUACCGAAACUGUGGAUGACCACUUAUGUGGUCAUGGUAGGAGAGCGUUCUAAGGGCGUUGAAGGUUGAUCGUGAGGACAACUGGAGCGCUUAGAAGUGAGAAUGCCGGUAUGAGUAGCGAAAGACAGGUGAGAAUCCUGUCCACCGUAUGACUAAGGUUUCCUGGGGAAGGCUCGUCCUCCCAGGGUUAGUCGGGACCUAAGCUGAGGCCGCAAGGCGUAAGCGAUGGCCAACAGGUUGAGAUUCCUGUACUAGUUUAUUUUGUUUGAACGAUGGAGGGACGCAGGAGGCUAAAGGAUCCGCACGAUUGGAAAUGUGCGGCCAAGCAAUAAGUCUUGGUGUGAGUCAAAUGCUUGCACCUGUACGGACAAGUUGUGAUGGGGAGCGAAUUUAAGUAGCGAAGUCCUUGAUGUCACACUGCCGAGAAAAGCUUCUAGUGAGAAAUAAACUACCCGUACCGCAAACCGACACAGGUAGUCGAGGAGAGUAUCCUCAGGUGUGCGAGAGAACUCUCGUUAAGGAACUCGGCAAAAUGACCCCGUAACUUCGGAAGAAGGGGUGCUGAUCUAACGAUCAGCCGCAGUGAAUAGGCCCAGGCGACUGUUUAUCAAAAACACAGGUCUCUGCUAAAUCGUAAGAUGACGUAUAGGGGCUGACGCCUGCCCGGUGCUGGAAGGUUAAGUGGAUGAGUUAGUACUUCGGUACGAAGCCCAGAAAUGAAGCCCCAGUAAACGGCGGCCGUAACUAUAACGGUCCUAAGGUAGCGAAAUUCCUUGUCGGGUAAGUUCCGACCCGCACGAAAGGCGUAACGAUCUGGGCACUGUCUCGACGAGAGACUCGGUGAAAUUAUAAUACCCGUGAAGAUGCGGGUUACCCGCGACAGGACGGAAAGACCCCAUGGAGCUUUACUGUAGCUUGAUAUUGAGUGUUUGUACCGCUUGUACAGGAUAGGUAGGAGCCGUUGAAGCCGGAACGCUAGUUUCGGUGGAGGCAUUGG
rnacentral:rRNA from 1 species